rnacentral:rRNA from 1 species
UACAGAGGGUGCAAGCGUUGUUCGGAAUUAUUGGGCGUAAAGCGCGUGUAGGCGGCUUUGCAAGUCGGGUGUGAAAGCCCUCAGCUUAACUGAGGAAGUGCGCCCGAAACUGCUUGGCUUGAGUACCGGAGAGGAUGGCGGAAUUCCCGGUGUAGCGGUGAAAUGCGCAGAUAUCGGGAAGAACACCCGUGGCUAAGGCGGCUCUCUAGUACGGUACUGACGCUGAGACGCGAAAGCGUGGGGAGCGAACAGG